rnacentral:lncRNA from 1 species
AAGAUCUCUUGUGCAGAAAACAUAGUGUGAUGCGCUGCGAUCAAGCCGACUCCUUUCCUUUAAACACGAAGUACCUGAAACCAAAACUGAAAACCAUAAGCACGAAGCUUAGUGAGUUCCCCCAUCAUACCGCAUACCAUACAAUCACAUAACAUACAUAUAUUGUCAGGCAUAUCUGGGUGCCCGACCUACCCCUUCGGUCCUCUCGACCGGAUACAGACUAGUCUAUCUGGGAGCUGGCCUCCCCUUCGGUCCUCUCUACCGGAUACUGACUAGCAUAUCUGGGUGCUGGUCUCCGCUUCGGUCCUCUCGACCGGAUACUGAUUAGCAUAUCUGGGAGCUGGCCUCCCCUGGGUCUCAUAGCUGCUUACAACACUUUCCAAACUAUCUGACUGCUAGUGAAUGCUACGGCUACCCCCGUAGUCUUACAACACUUCCCAAACUAUCUGACUGCUAGUGAAUGCUACGGCUACCCCCGUAGUCUUACAAACUUUCCAUACUGGGUCGAACACGCACUCGACCUAACACACAACUGAACUUGAGUCCUAACUGGAAGUCAAAUCUGGUUCCCGAAACCUGUUAUCACGUGACCCCAUUGUAUCAGUACCGUACCCAUGCCCACGAUCAAAGCGUCACAGUAAACCAAGAAAUCAUCUACACCCUCUGGCAGGGUGAGAAUCGGUGCCUCGCACAACCGCUGUCUGAGAGUUUCGAAGGCUGCCUACUACUCAGGCCCCCAACGAAAGGUCACCGACUUCUUGGUUAGUCGGGUCAUAGGAACCACAAUCUCGGAGAAGUCCCGCAUAAAUCUCUGGUAAUAACCCACUAUACUCAGGGAAUUCCGAAUCUCAGAUGGAGACCUCAGAAUCUCCCACUGCAUCACGGUCUAUAUCUUGGCCGAAUCAACUAGAAUACCCUUCUGGUUGACAAGGUGGCCAAGAGAUUGCACCUUGCGCAACCAGAACUCACAGCUAGAGAACUUUAUAAAAAAAUCUCUCCCCCACUUAGAUUCGACUAAGUCUUCACAUUACUUGAUAAUUGAAGGAUUCCCAAUCCUUCUCGGUUUCUAAUAUCCCACUGAUGACAACCUGUGCCUGCGAAUGCUUACGUUUAAUCGCCGAUUAAACCAUGAGAUCUCCCAUCCUCAGAAGUCUCGAUGAGUACACUUGAGAUCUGAUCCAGUCUGACACCUCAAUCCAUUUAACAUGCUAUCAAUUGAAGACCUUAAUCUUCACUCUAACUGACGAAUCCUCGUUCCCACUGCCAAUCUUGCAGUACCACUGAACUCUAAUCGAACACAGCCCAUGCAAAAACACAAUUCUCUUGAACAUCCAGUGACCAAUCACUUAUGCAUCUAACACCCGUGACUGACACUACCCUCUUCCUGUCACCAGUUCUGUCCUGGCAACGGUAGUGCCUUGAAAUCCAAAGUUCAUCCAUAAACAACUACCAAACAUACCUGAACAAUGAUAGAACCUCUGAACGCUGACUUCAUUGGAGAACAAUCACUCCAACCCUGAUCAAGUAUCCUCUAAAGAAUACUCCUGCAUAGAUCCCGACAAAAAUCCGAAAUGAUAACGGUAUGCGCGGAACCCACUCCGCAAGACGCAUCCCUCUUUGGGUUCAUCAAGGACCUUUCGGCAGGCUGGAUGGCAUAUAUGAUCCCUGAUAACCCAAACACUAGCAGAAAACCGACCCGAGGUCUGACUUAGCCAAAUGCACUCACAGUUCCAACGCAAUACGUAUCCCUAAUAUCCAUCUAGUAGCAAUAGAAGUUGACAUACUUGCAAUGUCUGGGGAAAUACUGGUCACCUUCUGCUGAUAUGACCAAUCCUGCUACCGUGUAGCAGCCUAAACCCUUGGAGUGACAAACUCCCUUGUGUACUUUCUCGUACGCGCUGCACUGACUCAGGCCCUGCUGGCCUUUCACCUGAUGUUCAGGAGUCAUGGGUCUCUUCCCGGGACCCUCUACUACGCGCACCUGGCACGCACCUCUCUUUCCAGGGUGCUCCCAAAUCGAUCCCGCAUCUGCAACUCUUGGAAAUCAUAUCCUUCAGGGUCUGACACCCUGUCACACUCACUAGCUCGCUUGCCAAAGGCUAAGCUGCAACAACUGGAACAUCCUCUAUUCCCAUACUGGGUCACAAACUCUUCCCUGAAGCUUCUUAGAUUCUCCAAGACUAUCACUGAUUCAAGUAUGGAUCCUGUGCUUUCAGUAGUACGGGCCCAAUACUACAUUCCACACCUAUCCAUACUUUCCUCAGCAAUCCUCCCGAAUCCUCUAAGUCACUUCCUCAAACCGGUACACCCAAGUCUCACUGAGCCUCACUACUAUCCCACGAAAACGUAUCCUAGGCUUUCCUAGGUUCCCGAACUCACCCAGUCCUCAGCUGCUGAAAGAUUCCCAGUAAUGUCAACUAGCUACCUCAUGAAUAUAGCCACAUGCAACAGAGAUCAGAUAAUCCUUCGAGUAAAAUAAUCAUCCCUAGAACGGUUAGACUCAAACGAGAGCUGCGCAAUAGGGUCAAAUCUAUCACUCUGAGAUUAUCCAGCUUGUGCCACAUGUGACUUAGCAUAUUCACUUAGUAGCUUACUCACAUUACUAAGAGUCCCACAAAGCACAAAGCAAGCAACAUUCAGACAAUGGAAAAUCUAACCAUCAUAUUCCAAUCAAAUCAUUUUAUCCUCUAAUCAGGAAUCUGUACAUGCAAUUAAAAGGCUCAUACAAUCAGGCAUAACCUAAACAGGCUAUCCUAUCACUGACUGAUCAGUACUAGCAUGCAAGUCUACAAGCACAUACAAUAGGCAUAUAAGGCAUCCUCCUAGAUCCUUAGCCCUAAUCUAGCAUGCAGUUCUCAUAAUCAUAUCAUAUCAUAUCAUAACAUGUAUGGGUAUCUUGGGGAAAACUUACUUGAGCUCGGCUGAUUGCACGCAUCACACACUUUGUUCUUCUCAAAGUUCUUUUCUCCUUUCAGAUUCUUUUCAAACUCCUUUUAUAAAAUGGUUUUACUUUGAAAACUUUCAUACCAAGCCCUUAGUUUGAGUUCAAACACACCCGAGAGUAUGUCCGAAUCCCUCAAACUAAAGCUCUGAUACCAACUUGUAAGAUCCCAAAAUUCAAGGCCAAAAAUUUCAUUUUUAAAUACAUUAUUAUAUAAACCAUCAGUAAUAAAACAUUCAUAUUCAUAUCUCAUGUCAAAACCAAAGUGUCAAUAAUCAAAGCAUUUUAUCGUGAGUUCCCCCAUUAUACCGCAUACCAUACAAUCACAUAACAUACAUAUAUUGUCAGGCAUAUCUGGGUGCCCGACCUACCCCUUCGGUCCUCUCGACCGGAUACAGACUAGUCUAUCUGGGAGUUGGCCUCCCCUUCGGUCCUCUCGAUCGGAUACUGACUAGCAUAUCUGGGUGCUGGUCUCCACUUCGAUCCUCUCGACCGGAUACUGACUAGCAUAUCUGGGAGCUGGCCUCCCCUUCGGUCCUCUCGAUCGGAUACUGGGGUCUAUUUCAC